rnacentral:ncRNA from 2 species
AAAUAAUAUUACCACCGACUCAUUUCGGCUAAAGAAGAAAAUUCCAUGCUGAUCUGAGCAGGGUAUAUCUGGAAACGGAUGUGCCUCCCAGUGCGGAAAGGUCGGCUUCUUGUUAAACU